rnacentral:tRNA from 1 species
UCCCAGAUGGCUCAGAGGUUAAAGCAUCUGCCUGCAAUGCGGGAGACCUGGGUUCAAUCCCUGGGUCAGGAA